rnacentral:rRNA from 1 species
CACGUAGGGACCGAGCGUUGUCCGGAUUUAUUGGGCGUAAAGAGCUCGUAGGCGGUUCAGUAAGUCGGGUGUGAAAACUUCGGGCUUAACUCGAAGCGUGCGUCCGAUACUGCUGUGACUAGAGUCCGGUAGGGGAGUGGGGAAUCCCUGGUGUAGCGGUGAAAUGCGCAGGUAUCAGGAGGAACACCGGUGGCGAAGGCGCCACUCUGGGCCGGUACCGACGCUGAGGAGCGAAAGCGUGGGUAGCAAACAGG